rnacentral:rRNA from 1 species
AUACGGAGGCUGCGAGCGUUGUUCGGAAUUAUUGGGCGUAAAGAGCAUGUAGGCGGUCUGUUAAGUCUGGUGUGAAAGCCCGGGGCUCAACCCCGGAAGUGCAUUGGAUACUGGCAGACUUGAGUAUGGGAGAGGAAAGCGGAAUUCCGAGUGUAGGAGUGAAAUCCGUAGAUAUUCGGAGGAACACCAGUGGCGAAGGCGGCUUUCUGGACCAAUACUGACGCUGAGAUGCGAAAGCGUGGGGAGCAAACAGGAUUAGAUACCCCAGUAGUCC